UUUUUAUUGGAAAUGUACACACCCUUAAUGUUUUAGCAUUUAAAUUAGCCAUAUCUGGUCCCAAAUAUUCUCCCUGUCUUAUGUCCAAACUGGACAGAUCUGGGCUCUCACACCUGUCUUACAAUGUCAUUCUAAAAAUAAACAAUCACAUCAAAAUCUUCAAGCUAAGAGAUAAUCCAGGAUUAAUUCACAGCAAUGGGUAUAAAUAAGGAUUGCAUUUGACAGGGUAAUAUGAA